AACGAACGCUGGCGGCAGGCCUAACACAUGCAAGUCGAGCGCCCCGCAAGGGGAGCGGCGGACGGGUGAGUAACGCGUGGGAAUAUGCCCUUUGCUACGGAAUAGUCUCGGGAAACUGGGGGUAAUACCGUAUACGCCCUUUGGGGGAAAGAUUUAUCGGCGAAGGAUUAGCCCGCGUUGGAUUAGGUAGUUGGUGGGGUAAUGGCCUACCAAGCCGACGAUCCAUAGCUGGUUUGAGAGGAUGAUCAGUCACACUGGGACUGAGACACGGCCCAGACUCCUACGGGAGGCAGCAGUGGGGAAUCUUAGACAAUGGGGGCAACCCUGAUCUGGCCAUGCCGCGUGAGUGAUGAAGGCCUUAGGGUUGUAAAGCUCUUUCAGCUGGGAAGAUAAUGACGGUACCAGCAGAAGAAGCCCCGGCUAACUCCGUG
rnacentral:rRNA from 1 species